rfam:Solenopsis invicta Si_gnG.contig104533, whole genome shotgun sequence.
GAAGACACUGUUGAGCUUGACUCUAGUCUGGCACUGUAAGGAGACAUGAGAGGUGUAGCAUAAGUGGGAGAUGGCAACAUCGCCGGUAAAAUAUCACUACUUUCAUCGUUUCCUUACUUACUCGGUUAGGCGGAACGCGUGCUCCGAGGUCCUCGUGCUCCGGCGGUAACGGUGUUCUAGAACCAAGCGUGUCAGAGUGGCGAGAGGCCUAGGCCGAUCGCCGUUAAUACUCCCGCGUGAUCCGAUUCGAGGACACUGUUAGGCGGGGAGUUUGACUGGGGCGGUACAUCUGUCACAGAAUAACGCAGGUGUCCUAAGGCCAGCUCAGCGAGGACAGAAACCUCGCGUAAAACAAAAGGGCAAAAGCUGGCUUGAUCUCGAUGUUCAGUACGCAUAGAGACUGCGAAAGCACGGCCUAUCGAUCCUUUUGGCUUGAAGAGUUUUCAGCAAGAGGUGUCAGAAAAGUUACCACAGGGAUAACUGACUUAUGGCGGUCAAGCGUACAUACAGACGUCGCUUUUUGAUCCUUCGAUGUCGGCUCAUCCUAUCAUUGCGAAGCAGAAUUCGCCAAGCGUCGGAUUGUUCACCCGACAACAGGGAACGUGAGCUGGGCUUAGACCGUCGUGAGAUAGGUUAGUUUUACCCUACUGAUGACUAGUCAUUGCGAGAGUAAUCCUGCUCAGUACGAGAGGAACCGCAGGUUCGGACAUUUGGUUCACGCACUCGGUGGAGCGGCCGGUGGUGCCAAGCUACCAUCCGUGGGAUUAUGCCUGAACGCCUCUAAGACCGUAUCCUCUCUAGUCAAAGGUGGCAAUGAUAUCUCUAGGAGUCUCGUGAGUCGAAAGGCUCAAAACAAUGUGACACUACUAGGCGGCCGGUUGCCCUUCGCGGGGCGGACCGAUUGUCGCACGAGCCCGGAUUACCGUACGGCGCCAUCGUCCGUCGUCGAGAACUCACCGCCUACGACGGCGCGGCGUCUAACGGUCAAACAUGAGUUUCGCGAGUUCGAUGUCGGAAUUGUCUGAAGACGACUUAGGUACCUGGCGGGGUGUUGUACU